rnacentral:tRNA from 1 species
GGGAAGUUAGCUCAACGGUAGAGUCCGAAACUGUUAAUUUCGUUGUUGUGGGUUCGAAUCCCACACUUCCCUCAA